ACUUCUUUGGCAUCAACCCCAUUUCCAAUUUCAAACUCCUCUCUCAGCAGUGCUCCUACAUGGGGGGCUGCUUCCUGGAGAAGAUUGAACGAGCCAUCACCCAGGAGCUCCCCAGCCUUCUGGGUAGCAUUGGGCUUGGGAAGAAUCCAGGUGCUCCUAACUGUGACAAAACAGGCUGUGGAGAGACCCCAAAGAAUCGCUACAAGAAGCACUAGUUUCUGCGUAGCUAUCCUCGGGUCCCCGUUGGUGAAUAAGCUUGCGUCCUAACUGUCUGAGAAGUCCUGGUUUGUUAACCCUUUGAGCCAUACUGGCGACAACCAGUCUGCAUUGGAGAUUUGGAAGUUCACUGAGGCCGGUGAAUCAGGGAAGGCACAGGGUUCUAGGGAGGAGAGCGGUAACUGUGAAUCAUAGUGUGCUUGUCCUACUGCUUCAGUUAGAAGGCCUGACACAGGCCAAGUCAGUCUACAAAGCUUCCCUUGUUUUUUCUGGGUCCUGUCUUGGAAGGGCAGAGAGCAGCUAAAUCCUAAUGAAUACUAAGAUAGUGAGGUUCUAAUAAGCUAAACUCAUGGAAAUUUCCUGAGUAACAGAGGCUUCUCAGGUCUGUGUCAACUCCUUUCACACACGUCUUCUGUUUGAUCCCUGUCCCUCCUUGGCUCCCUCCUAAGCUUGGGUUGAUUUUCAGAAGUGGACAGUCUCUUGAGUUUGAUCUUCAUGAAUUUUGAGCCUAACCUUGGAAUCCUCUCCCAGUUUUCUCAAGGGGCGGGGCAUCCAUAAACCUAAAACAAGAGUUUUUAAAUUAGGGUGUUGAUCUGCCGCCACUGGUGUCCCAAUUGGGGAUCUCAGACAGUUGUCCCUAAAAGGAGGGUGAGUGGGUGAUGUACUCAAGUACCUUCCCCUCCUUACACGGAGGUAUGAAGGGCUCCGGGGGUUAAUUGGUUUGCAGUGUGUCUUUGUCUGUUGCAUGUCUUGGAAAGCUCAGAUCACAGAGGUGUUGGGUUUCAGAGUGGACAAUGGAGACCUUGCUCCUAGUCCUUAGAGGGUUCUCUGGACAGACAUUCUCCCAAGUUUUGGUGGAAGCUGUUUCUACAGCUUCUUUGUGGGAGCACUUGACAGAGGACUUGCCUCCUCUGGUUCCCAGAACCAUGGUUUCUCUUUUCCUUUCUUCUCCAUUCCCUGAUGCAUCAAUACUUCCAACUGAGAAAAAGUCCCUCGGAUCAGAACCAGUACCAGCCCCUUGACAUUGGCAUUGGUGCCAGAUAAGGCCUGAGGUUAGAUUCAAACUGAAUUCCUGCAGAUACCCACCGAGUGCAGUCAGGACUGUCAAGGCCUUCAAACACCAGUGAAUGUGCACUUAGUGUGUCCACUGUACAAGAGACAGCCCGGAGGAUGACAGAUUUGAGGGCACAGAGAGAGGACUCCUGGGAGUCGUGCAAGGCACACAUACACUGCCACCUUGAAGUGCAGGAGAGCAAGACGCUCUGGAAGGGUGAAGAGCUUUUUGAUGGAGCAGGCAAGGUGAAGUUCAGCCUGCCUUGAGGGCUUCCUCUGGGCACAGCCAGCUGCUUUCGUUUUGGAGCAACCUCUCCUGGAGGCCUUGAUUGUGAGGCAUGGGUUGGGAUCCAGCAGCAGCAGGGUGUCAUCUGGAGCAGAAGGGAAGUGGGAGGGAAGGCUGAGCCAACGUUAUUCUUUCUGAGGAUCAAAUAUGCAGCGUAAGCAUAUUGGUAACCGAGGAGGCUACACAGAGAACAUCAACUGAGGGGUUUGUGUUUCUCCGAAUUCUUUGAAGUCUGGUGCCUUCUAAGGAAGGCUGCUGUUUUGGCUCCUCGUAGGGCCCAGGACCUGCUGCCGUAAGUCAAAAGCUCCAGAACUGCCAGGACAGUGUCUCCAAGGAAUGAGUUCCUCCCAUAAGGGUCAUUCAUGGAGCUUGGUGGCUAGGGUAGAUGAGCUGCAAUCUGUCUUGGGUUUUUCUUCCCAAACUCCUCCCCUCUUCUCUCCAUCAUGCGCUCUCUGGAGAGACUGUCCCUCCCACCCUUCUCCUUCCUGCCCCUCAUGCCUGUGAGUUUUGUGUGGCAAAUCUGUUUUUCUCUCAAUGCAGAAACGGGGGAAAAAGCUGAACUGUAUGGAGCCUGUCCUAGCUGUCAGUGCCUGCAUGCUUCGGGGGAAGCAGGUGAAAUGAGGCCAAUGAAUUCUUACAGCAUUUGCGUUUGGGGGGAGGCACCUGACUAGUGGUACCUUCCUUCCUUUUGGAUUUCUCUCCAUCCAUUUCUUCUCUGCCUCCAUUCUGUCUCUCUCCCACUCACAGGCCGCUGACAGUCCCACAGCUUUCAGCACUCAAUCUUUGCCUGGCCGUGCAGAGCUGGGUUUUGAGCAGGAUUCUGACUAGGAGGAGGGAAAAACGUGGGAUGCAGAGAUUUCCUGAGGGGAACAUCUGUGUCUGUGCCUGAAGAGUGGCUGACCUUUCCAGUGUCCUUUCUAUUCUGAUUUCAUCAGGGAGAACGUCUCAAUAAAGUUCCAAUCUCUCUUCAA
rnacentral:lncRNA from 1 species